rnacentral:rRNA from 1 species
UACGUAGGGCGCAAGCGUUGUCCGGAAUUAUUGGGCGUAAAGAGCUCGUAGGCGGUUUGUCGCGUCUGCUGUGAAAACCUAAGGCUCAACCUUGGGCUUGCAGUGGGUACGGGCAGACUAGAGUGUGGUAGGGGAGACUGGAAUUCCUGGUGUAGCGGUGAAAUGCGCAGAUAUCAGGAGGAACACCGAUGGCGAAGGCAGGUCUCUGGGCCGUAACUGACGCUGAGGAGCGAAAGCAUGGGGAGCGAACAGG